UCCGUUAUGAUCUAGCGGUUAGGAUUUGUGACUCUCAUUUCGACCGUUCACAAGGCCGGGGUUCGACUCCGCGUGACGGGA